AAAGAUAAAGCACCCUUUGAUACAUGUAUAUAGAACUUUCAAAUUCCUGUGGGCUAGGCGGCUCGCUGACAGGGGAGAGGAGGGCUUGCGUUACUGGAAAGUCUUGUAUCUCACUGCAAAACAAAGUAUGGGAAAGGGAAAUUGCUUCAAUCGUUGUGGACAAAAUAUAAUUGAGCUGAGCUAAAUUGACAUGGUUCUCUUCGUCCAAGCUUAUGGAUUUGGCGUCAUAGAAGGACUGCGGGAUGUCCAGAAAAGUUUUUCUCUAACCCUUUCAAAUUGGAUAGAGAGCCGUGGGGGUAGGCACCAAGCAGGUUCCGGCCAUCAGUCAUCUCAAACAAGAAAAGAGCGGCCAAUUAAAAGCCAGCCAAUGUAGCUUCGUUUCCCAGAACCUAACAGGCACUUAUUAUUAAUACGCACAUGCUUUUCAUGGUUUGUUGAAAUUUUGCAAUUCAACCAAAUUGCGGGACCCUUCUUUGUUUUAGCUUUGCAAUGAACAAAUCUGAUCAAAAUAAGGGCAGCUGGUUGGGCCACAUUGGGCCAACAUGUGCUAAGCAGCAGUAAAAACUGAAGGUCCAUAUAUAUGUAUAUAUCACCAAAUCUUCCUAUUCAUCUCUU